UGUACCACGAUAGAGACAGAGAGAGGCGAUGAGUACACGGAGAAAGAAGCAGAGGGAUAGAGUUCGUAAGAGGGAUAAUCGUUUCGGUACAAAUCAAAAGAAAAAAGACUGGGAUAGAGAGAGGGAGUUCACUAAGAGAGACAGAGUUUGUACGGUGUUAAGAGAGAAAUAUCUAAGUUCCACCGUUAUGGUCAGUUUUUCCGCCGCCAUCCGUUCCCUCGCCAGACUCAGAACACCGAAACCGCAGUCACACACAGGAAUUGAGAUUGAGGAAGAGAAAUUUAAGUUUCAUUAACUCCGUCGAUCUGGCCAUUUACCUGCCAUCAUCAGAUCGCCGAAACUACCACCGGUAAUUUUUUUCCCCUUUCUUAUAUCUGGGUAUGAAAUAUGACUUAGUUUUUGGGUAUUUUGGUUGGGUAGGUAUAGAUUUAGAUAUUUGCUUUGAUGUUUUGGGAUUUUCUGUUAUGGUUUGUAGAUUUCAGAAUAGCGUUGUUAAUUUUCCUAUUUCAGAUUCUCUCUCUGUUGUGUAAUUUACCAUUUUCUGCCAUCUUCAAUUCGGCCCACUUUAUUACUGUAUGCAUGUUCCGUUCCUAACCAACAGACAGAGGAAAAAAGAAAAUCCAAAAGCGCAAACCAAUUUUGCCUCUUCAGAAAUUGAACAGACCUCUUCUCUUUAAUCAACAACCAAUAGCAUCUCUUACAAUCUAACCCAUCUUAGCUUAGAAUAGAAAAAAAGAGAGAGAGGUUAUUAUGCAUUCUAGAACAGCCGCUAAAGACAGAGAAAUCUCAGGGUCAGCGAGUUUUUUUGGUCCAGCAUAAAGAGAGAGAGAAAUCUGAAGGACACUGCCACUGUCAGGCCAGCCUCCUGCACCGUAAGACUAAAAAAUUUCAAUGAUGGGGGGUUAUGCAACAAUGAAAUGGGCCACAAUAGCUUUUAUUGCAAAUGUAGAAGCCACAGAAACAGUUUCAUUCUUGGUCUACACCAUUGAGAGAUCAGCAAAAUCUUAAGCAACUUGGAGUCAACAAGCCUACAGCUCUUGCUUUUAUGCUCUUUGCUUUCAUGUGGAGGGUGGCAUUGACAAAUUAUUACUUUCUAAUUGGAAGAGUUAAGAGUUCCAAUAUGGUCAGUAUAUUUUGUUUUAGUAUGUCUAAUCUUUUUAGAAUAUUUGAAAAUGAACCAAAUGCUAAAAUCUUAAAUUGGGUUUCAUGACUUAGUUUUGGGUAUUUUGGUUGGGUUUUAGUUUUUUGGGUUAGAUUUGUAUUUUGGUUUGGGUUUCUAUAUCAAAGCCAGAAUUUUUUCCUUUCCUUCGAUUUGAAUAUAACUAAGAUUUAUGACUUAGUUUUGGGUAUUUUGGUUCGGUUUUAGGUUUUUGGGAUAGAUUUGUGUUUUGGGUUUCUGUAUCAAAGCUUUGUCUUUUUAGUUUAUAUUCUCUAUUUGUCUUUUAACGUCGUGAAUGAUUUCAGGAAUAUAGCACUAACGCAGAAGAUUAACCUCAAGUCGAACUGUGGACCUGUCAAGGUGAAUGGUGAUGUUUCAAUUCAUCCGAGUGAAAUAGAGCUGGCACUUCAGUGCAUCAUGGCUAGAAUAUGGCUAAUCUAACUAAAUUGUUUUUUGGUUAAAGAGAUCUUAGACUUAAUUUUCUGCUAUUGGGGAAUUUUGAACUUUUGGCAUUGUUAUUGAACCUAACUCUAUAUUACACAAUUGUCAUUUUUGUUUUUUUUGAAGUGAUUGACAUUAACAAGCCUUUAUUAAAAAUAUUAACUAUUGUACAU